AAUGAACGCUGGCGGCGUGCCUAACACAUGCAAGUCGAACGAGGUCGCAAGACCGAGUGGCGGACGGGUGAGUAUAACAUAGGCAACCUGCCCAUCAGUGGGGGAUACCUAGCCGAAAGGUUAGCUAAUACCGCAUACGGUGCAGUCCUGAAAUGGGCUGUACGAAAGAUUUAUCGCUGAUAGAUGGGCUCAUGGUCGAUUAGCUAGUUGGUGAGGUAACGGCCCACCAAGGCGACGAUCGAUAGCUGGUCUGAGAGGAUGAUCAGCCACACUGGGACUGAGACACGGCCCAGACUCCUACGGGAGGCAGCAGUGGGGAAUUUUCCGCAAUGGGCGAAAGCCUGACGGAGCGACGCCGCGUGGAGGAUGAAGGAUUUCGGUCUGUAAACUCCUGUCAGGGGGGACGAUGAUGACGGUACCCCCACAGGAAGCAUCGGCUAACUACGUGCCAGCAGCCGCGGUAAUACGUAGGAUGCGAGCGUUGUUCGGAUUUAUUGGGCGUAAAGCGUCCGCAGGCGGGUUUGUAAGUCUGUUGUUAAAACGUGGAGCUUAACUCCAUUUCAGCAAUGGAAACUGCAAGACUAGAGUGUGGUAGGGGCAGAGGGAAUUCCCAGUGUAGCGGUGAAAUGCGUAGAUAUUUGGAGGAACAUCAGUUGCGAAGGCGGCUUUCUGGGUCGCUCCUGACGCUCAUGGACGAAAGCCAGGGGAGCGAAAGGGAUUAGGUACCCCUGUAGUCCUGGCCGUAAACGAUGAACACUAGGUGUCGGGGGAAUCGACCCCCUCGGUGUCGUAGCCAACGCGUUAAGUGUUCCGCCUGGGGAGUACGCACGCAAGUGUGAAACUCAAAGGAAUUGACGGGGGCCCGCACAAGCGGUGGAGGAUGUGGUUUAAUUCGAUGCAACGCGAAGAACCUUACCAGGGUUUGACAUCCUGCGAAUCCCUUGGAAACGAGGGAGUGCCUUCGGGAGCGCAGUGACAGGUGGUGCAUAUGGCUGUCGUCAGCUCGUGUCGUGAGAUGUUGGGUUAAGUCCCGCAACGAGCGCAACCCUCGGAUUUUUAGUUGCCAGCAUUUAGUUGGGCACUCUAGAGAGACCGCCGGUGAUAAACCGGAGGAAGGUGUGGAUGACGUCAAGUCAUCAUGCCCCUUAUGUCCUGGGCUACACACGUGCUACAUUGGCCGGUACAGAGGGCAGCGAAGCAGCGAUGUGAAGCGAAUCCCAGAAAACUUGCCUCAGUUCGGAUUGCAGGCUGAAACUCGCCUGCAUGAAGUAGGAAUCGCUAGUAAACGCAGAUCAGCAUGCUGCGUUGAAUACGUUCCCGGGCCUUGUACACACCGCCCGUCACACCACGAAAGUCGGCAACACCCGAAGCCGGUGGGCUAACCGCAAGGAGGCAGCCGUCGAAGGUGGGGCAGAUGAUUGGGGUG
rnacentral:rRNA from 1 species